CCCGAUUUGAAAUAUUUUGCACCUUAAAUUAGUAUAAAUGCUAAUUAUAUUUACAGAAGGGGGUCUCGAGUUGGUUGUUGAGUGAUUGUGGGGUCACGAGCUCAGUGGGCGGAGUCCUGAACCGGAUGGGGCGGCCUUUUAUUUGUUUCGCGCGAAGCUUCCAUUUUUCUUCCUGUGGCUGCCCGCAGUCCUUCCCACUCUCUCCUGGGUCAUGCAGUGUUGUUUGCGGGACUUGAUCCUUUAAGAAACACAAAAGUCAUCGCGUUUCUUUCUGUGCUUUACACGUGUAGCGCUAUGUCUCAGGCGCGAGUCACAGACUUCUUUUCGCAAAGAAAGAAAUGUGCCGGGCCGACGAAAGCAGCGAAGCCCCGAAACAGAGGCAGCACCAGCUCACGCUUCGCCGUGCACAAAGAGCAGCUGAGCUCGUCUGUUCAUGAAGAGUUUGUCCGAGUCAUCGAUGAGGCGGUGGGGCUGAAGGACUCAUGUCCCGGGGAGCAUUUUGCCAGUCCGCGCACCCCCAAACGAAGUUCUGAGGACGUGGAGUUUGAUCUCGGAGCCGCUGUCUUCUCUGCUACGACUGACCACAGCACCGCCAAGAAAAGCAGACCCAUGGCUACUACCAAAGCUCCAGAAAAAAGCACCAGAAGGACGGCCAGAAAGCAACUAAUCCUCCCGCAGGACUCUCCGCAGCCACAGGCGCCACAAGCCAAGCCUGAGCAGACACAGUCGGCCUCACCUCCUCCAAGGAGCCAGGACUCCAGCAAAGACCCCAGCAUACCCCCAGAGCAGUCCGGAGCAAGGUGAGAUUCAGUAUUGCUGCCUUUCCGUAACCGCUUAACCCCCGCCUUCAUAGAGCGGAGGUCAUUUUCUCCAGUUCAGUUUUACCCAAAUCUAAAAGCUACUGGACUAGAGCUUACAGCCUAUAGGCCAGUGUACGCCUCAUUUGAAAGCUAAGAUCUACACAACAGCUCAUGACUUCUUUGUUGUGUUGUCCCUGUGUUUUUUUGUCAUGUUUUCAUCGCUUAUUAAUUGUGUCAUUGUUGCUUUUCCGGCAUGUUUUUGUUGCUCCUUUGUGGCUUUUUCUU
rnacentral:lncRNA from 1 species